CGUAGGUGGCAAGCGUUGUCCGGAAUUACUGGGCGUAAAGGGCGUGUAGGCGGCCUUUUAAGUCAGACGUGAAAUCUCCAGGCUUAACCUGGAAACUGCGUUUGAAACUGGAGGGCUUGAGGACCGGAGAGGGUAGUGGAAUUCCCAGUGUAGCGGUGAAAUGCGUAGAUAUUGGGAGGAACACCAGUGGCGAAGGCGACUGCCUGGACGGCACCUGACGCUGAGGCGCGAAAGCUAGGGGAGCAAACGGGAUUAGAUACCCCGGUAGUCCUAGCCGUAAACGAUGGGUACUGGGUGUGGGAGGUAUCAACCCCUUCCGUGCCGCAGUUAACACAAUAAGUACCCCGCCUGGGGAGUACGGCCGCAAGGCUA
rnacentral:rRNA from 1 species